AGUCGAACGGAAAGGCCCUUCGGGGUACUCGAGUGGCGAACGGGUGAGUAACACGUGGGUGAUCUGCCCUGCACUUUGGGAUAAGCCUGGGAAACUGGGUCUAAUACCGAAUAGGACUACGGCCUGCAUGGGUUGUGGUGGAAAGCUUUUGCGGUGUGGGAUGGGCCCGCGGCCUAUCAGCUUGUUGGUGAGGUUACGGCUCACCAAGGCGACGACGGGUAGCCGGCCUGAGAGGGUGACCGGCCACACUGGGACUGAGAUACGGCCCAGACUCCUACGGGAGGCAGCAGUGGGGAAUAUUGCACAAUGGGCGCAAGCCUGAUGCAGCGACGCCGCGUGAGGGAUGACGGCCUUCGGGUUGUAAACCUCUUUCAGUAGGGACGAAGCGCAAGUGACGGUACCUAUAGAAGAAGGACCGGCCAACUACGUGCCAGCAGCCGCGGUAAUACGUAGGGUCCGAGCGUUGUCCGGAAUUACUGGGCGUAAAGAGCUCGUAGGUGGUUUGUCGCGUUGUUCGUGAAAACUCACAGCUCAACUGUGGGCGUGCGGGCGAUACGGGCAGACUUGAGUACUGCAGGGGAGACUGGAAUUCCUGGUGUAGCGGUGGAAUGCGCAGAUAUCAGGAGGAACACCGGUGGCGAAGGCGGGUCUCUGGGCAGUAACUGACGCUGAGGAGCGAAAGCGUGGGGAGCGAACAGGAUUAGAUACCCUGGUAGUCCACGCCGUAAACGGUGGGUACUAGGUGUGGGUUUCCUUCCUUGGGAUCCGUGCCGUAGCUAACGCAUUAAGUACCCCGCCUGGGGAGUACGGCCGCAAGGCUAAAACUCAAAGAAAUUGACGGGGGCCCGCACAAGCGGCGGAGCAUGUGGAUUAAUUCGAUGCAACGCGAAGAACCUUA
rnacentral:rRNA from 1 species